GGUGAUUCAUAGUAACCGAACGGAUCGCAUUAUAGUCAUUUUAUAUGGCUGGCGAUAGAUCAUUCAAGUUUCUGACCUAUCAGCUUUCGACGGUAGUGUAUUGGACUACCGUGGCAGUGACGGGUAACGGGGAAUUAGGGUUCGAUUCCGGAGAGGGAGCCUGAGAAACGGCUACCACAUCUAAGGAAGGCAGCAGGCGCGCAAAUUACCCAAUCCUGACUCAGGGAGGUAGUGACAAGAAAUAACAACACUGGAAAUUUUAUUUCUAGUGAUUGGAAUGAUGGGAAUUUAAACCCCUUUCAGAGUAACAAUUGGAGGGCAAGUCUGGUGCCAGCAGCCGCGGUAAUUCCAGCUCCAAUAGCGUAUAUUAAAGUUGUUGCAGUUAAAAAGCUCGUAGUUGGAUAUCUGCUGGAAGCAAUCAGUCCGCCCUAUUUGUAGGGUGUGCACUUGAUGAAUUCUGGCAUCUAUGUCCCGAUAAUAUAACGUGGAGGUCGUCCUCCCGUUUAUUGGGAACAUACUGUUACUUUGAGAAAAUUAGAGUGUUUGAAGCAGGCUAAUUGCCUUGAAUACUGCAGCAUGGAAUAACAAUAUAGGAUUUCGGUUCUAUUUUGUUGGUUUCUAGGACUGAAAUAAUGAUUAAUAGGGACAGUUGGGGGCAUUCGUAUUUAACUGUCAGAGGUGAAAUUCUUAGAUUUGUUAAAGACGAACUACUGCGAAAGCAUUUGCCAAAGAUGUUUUCAUUAAUCAAGAACGAAAGUUAGGGGCUCGAAGACGAUCAGAUACCGUCGUAGUCUUAACCAUAAACUAUGCCGAAUUCUGCAG
rnacentral:rRNA from 1 species